UACGUAGGGGGCAAGCGUUGUCCGGAUUUAUUGGGCGUAAAGAGCGUGUAGGCGGUCCGGUAAGUCAGCUGUGAAAGUCAAGGGCUCAACCCUUGAAAGCCGGUUGGUACUGUCGGGCUAGAGUCCGGAAGAGGCGAGUGGAAUUCCCGGUGUAGCGGUGAAAUGCGCAGAUAUCGGGAGGAACACCAAUGGCGAAGGCAGCUCGCUGGGACGGUACUGACGCUGAGACGCGAAAGCGUGGGGAGCAAACAGG
rnacentral:rRNA from 1 species